CUUUUUUUUCAUCAAAAAAUAAAUAAAUCAAAAGAUCUUCUUAUGCCCAUAAUAUUUAAAUUUCUCCAUGUGUAAAAUAUUUCUACCAAAGAAGAUCUCUUUAUCAUCCACUGGAUAUUGAAAAGACGGGUUAAUUUGUGUAAAGAUUAGAUUAACGCUCAUUAGAUUCAUCAAAUGGUUUUAAAGCUCAGUACCUGCAGCGUUUUCGACUUAAUACUUUGAAUAUGGUCAAAUCGAAGUUGAUUCUACAAACCAAAUACCGAUAAAUAGAUAUUUUUUGUAUCCAGCUGCACAAAUCAUUUUAAGGUUCAUCGAAACUUUCGGAGAUGAAAUACCACCUAAAGUAAGGGAGAAGGGACACAGGUUGGUUUUCUAUGUCGAGGGACCUACUAUAUGUUCAGCUCGUACAAUUAUCAAUAAGUUUUACGCUCAGUUUUGUAUAACACCACAGAGGUUGGAGAAAAUGUAAAUUAUCAAUUAUGUGAAUGCUUUGACAGAAGGUCUACCGAUGUUGACAGGAACAAGGAGUUUGUAAAAUUGUGAACUAUUGGAACUCAUGCUUUUGCAAAUAAUUUUUUCCGUUUGAUCGUUGGCAUGUUGAUCUCGACGAAAGAUUUUUCUAACAACAAUCCAAUUAUACAGAUAUCGACAAUCAUUCUAGGAAAAAUUGAAAAAGCGUGUAUGGAACCGCGACAUGUUGGAUUUUGGGAACAUGAACACCAGCAUAUGCAUCACCUCUUAUAUUAUUUUUCUCCAUGUAUACAAUUUUAGAACUUUUGUUCCAAAGUUUCAAAGAACUUUGUAACGGUAUUGGAAUAGUAUGUGGUAGUAGUCAUGUAAAAAUUGU